GUCUGGAAAGCCUGGAACGGGUGGGCUUCCGGGACCUCAAUUCCCAGCAAGGGUGACAGCGCGGAGGGGUCAGUGCUGGCGGGGCCGGGGGAGGGGAGGCGGAUCAUGUUGCAUCAGUCACCCUCGAGGCCUUGGGUAAUGAGACGCUAAUUCUACUGAUCUGGAACCUCGCUUCAAAACCACUGCCCAGCUUCACCAAGGGCCUGGCAUCCAGUGGGAGUCACGUAUAUUCCCCAGUUCGACCGAAUGCACCAGAAAAUCAACCUGCCAGCUUAACACAGAACCUUGAACACGAAGGUUGAUUGACAAGAGUCAGACACCAGAACAGUAAUAUCUUCCUAUCAAGCUAUAAACAGAAAAACAAACCUGAGACUACGGCAAUGGGCUCACCCAGUCAGGUGCUCAAUUGUAAAACUUGGCUGGCCUUUUGUAAGCAAAGAGAUAGACUGAAGGGUAGGGAUUCUUAACUUUGUUUUGUGCCACGGCAGUCUUGUGAAGCCUAUGGACCCAUUCUCAGAAUAAUCCUUUUAAGUGCGUGAAAUAAAAAAUGUUGGAUUACAAAGGAAACAAUAUAUUGAAAUUAAAACCAAUGCAUUGAUAACAUAGUAUUGCUCCUUUACUAAUGCCUUAAUUGAGAAGAUUUAGCAGCAGAUCUCACAAAGGUUGGAAUUUCAAAAAGGUGACAAAUAUUUUGAGAUGUCUGUAAGCAUCAGAAGUGUAAUAUGAAAAUAUCAGUUACGUCUACUGGUGCAAAAUUAUAGAUCCUUCAGAUACUACGUUUAUGUUGCCAGCAUUCAUAGUGUAGCAAAGGCUAACUUUUGUUUAUAGAGAUUAGUGAAAGUGUAGGUGGAGUCUUCUUUUCCAUCCGGUUUUAGGAAUCCACCCUCCUCCCCACCCACACACAGUUUUAGCUGUGGAUCAACAAUCUGCAGACCCCAGUUUAGGAACCUGGAUUUAAAAAUCUUUUGUGAUUAACUAUGAUAAUAGUAAAUGGAUAAUUUACUGUUAUAAAUAAUUUACUAUUAUAAGAAAUAAUAGUAAAUGGAUAAUUUAUUGAGUACAUGCUAUUUGCCUGUUGUAAGCUUUAUACACAGUAUAUUAAUCUUCAUAGCCAUUCUAUAAUAUAGUUAUUCCUCUGUUUAUACUCAUGUAGAAAUGGAGGCUAUUUGCCUGAAGAAUCAAAUUUGCAACUCUCAGAAAUCUGAACUACAUUUUGGGGCUUUUAGUCCUGAUUUGAAUGAAUGACACUUUUAUUAUCCAAACUAAAGUGUAAAGUGUUAGAACUGGUUCAGAAACAAGGAGAAGCAAACAUUUGUUGUUCAUUUGUUGAUUAUUCCUGCAGAGGCUUUCUAGUUUUGAACCUUUAUCAGUGUGCUUUAAAGUAAUUUUUAAUACUUAUUUGGAUGAAAUUUCAAAAUAAACAAAUGCA